CUUCCCUGCCUGAGCUGGCUAAAGUGAAGCUGGUAUCUUCCAGUCUCAGAGGGAGGGAAAGAGGUCAGGUCAUUCAAAACCCUGGCUGUUAGAAAGACUGUAUCCGGUAGACAGCAGAGCCAUCAAACAGACAUGGGGCUUCCUCUUGCAGCCUUGCAGUUAUGAACAAAGGUUGCCUCUGUCAUCAAAGCCCCUGCAGACUAGACCCCCUCUGAAUAACAUGCAGCAAGUUCCCAAAGAAUGGACACCAAUGAAGCCCAUACAUCAAUCAACAACAGGGACUGAUGAAAUGGCUUAGUGUUAACAAACUUGGGGAUCCAAGUUCUAAUCCCCAGAGCCCACAUAAGAAGUAAGUGAAGCACAGCUCCCGGUUCUGGGGAGACACACUGGGAGAGUCUGUGCUUGCUGACAUCUGCUCUCUCCAAUCUGUGAGCUCAAGUGCAGUGAGAGACCCUGUCUCAAAAGGUAAGGUGGAGAGGUGACUGAAGACACCACCCAUGUGGAGCCAUGUCUUCCCUGUAUGUAUGCACACAUAAUCAUGUUAAAAAAUGAAGACAGCAUGAACAUGAAGUUUCUCUGACAGGUCAUGUCUAUCCAAGAUGACCUCUUGUGCUCUCUGUCCCAUGGUCUAGACUUUGAUUAUUUUUCUGAGUUCCAUGGAGGAAUCACACAUGGCUACAUUCUCUUAAGGAGCCUCCAUUCGGUGACAGCUGGAUGGAUCAGGACAGAUGACCAGGGUCAAGGGUAGAGACAGGCAUGGCAGACCUUCCUCCUCAAAUACCAAAUAUCCAAUAUAGUAAUCAAAUCCCAGAUCGCAGACAUUAUGGAAUUAACUAAAUUAGCCGCUGCAGACCAUGGUUCUGGAUAGCCAAACAGAUCCAAGUGUCUUAAAAAUAUAUAAAUCACAAUGUUCUAGCCCUUCACAUCCGGAAACACAUUUUAGACCCUUGGAGAUAAUAGAAGUAUCGCCUGAAAACAAAACAAAACAACCUGUUUCUAGAGCUGGAGAAAGAGUUCAGUGGCUAAGAGUACUGGCUGCUCAUAGAAGACCCAAAUCUGGUUCUCAAGACCUACAGAGAGGCUCACAAGCAUCUACAACCCCGGUUCCACGGAGUCUUCUUCUCACCUCCACAGGUGCCCAGCAUGCACAUGGUGCACAUACACAUAUGUAGACAAAAAACUCAUACACAUAAGCUAAAAAUAAAUUUUUUAAAAAUCCUGAUAUCUCAUCAGACAUCUGGGAGAACCAAGGUCCAGAUGACUUCCCGAAGGUCACACAAGGUAAAGCAGAGCCAAGAGAGCUCACAGCCUCUGGCUGGUAACUUAAGGUUGUUUUUAUUUAUCAUAACUGUCAUUGCAGUGGGUGAAUAAUCUAGGAGCCAAAUCAGAUGUCCUUCACACCCUCUGAAGCUACUCUUAGGAUGAGCCAGAAUGUUCUGCAUCAACCCACGCAUGUGAGAGGAUCUACCAAGUUACCUGAUAUCAGGUAUAGUUACCUGAUACCUUAGUCAGAAGGUCAUCAACUUCUUCAACAGAAGUUAUGCAUUUAGGUGCCACCAUAUUUUCAAAGGAGUCCUUUACAC
rnacentral:lncRNA from 1 species